rnacentral:lncRNA from 1 species
AAAGAAAUUCAAGUUUAUAAGACUGAUCUUGUUCCGACCUUGUAAAAUGCAGGGUGUAUCUAUUGAUCAUAUGUUGUAUCUAUUGAUCAUAUGUUUGAAGCAUACAACAUAUUUUUAAUCUUGAUCAUAAGAAAUAUGACAUCAAUAUUGUGCAUGUUUGACACAUUUAGUUAUUAGUCCAACACAAGCAUCAUUUUAAAUACAUUAACAAAAAAAAAAUUCGUAGAUUUCUACAAGAUGUAAAAAGCAUCUAAAUAAUUAAAAACCAAGGAAUU